rnacentral:rRNA from 1 species
UGUAAUUUGAUUGAUUUGACUUUUCAAUGGAUAUUCCUGGUACAUCCAGGGCUAAUACAUGCCUGAACGGAUUUUAUCCGUGCUUUGAGAACUAUACAAACACGAGUUUGUGAAUGUGUCUCACCAAGUAAAUCAUUUUGAUAAAUCAAAGAAGCUUCUGACCCAUCAGCUUUGAUGGUAGUGUAUUGGACUACCAUGGCUUCUACGGGUGACGAGGAAUUAGGGUUCGAUUUCGGAGAGGGAGCUUGAGAAAUGGCUACCACA